rnacentral:tRNA from 1 species
AGGGGUGUGGCGCAACUGGCAGCGCAACGGCCUCCAAAGCCGAAGGUUGCAGGUUCGAAUCCUGUCACCCCUG